AGGGGAGCUUUCUGUCUAUGUGAACUCUUUUGCAAUUCUUACAAAAUCUCUACUGCCCUUGCCAAACAAAUAUCAUGGUCUAACUCAUGUGGAAGAUUCACCAAAGGAGAGCUUCCUAAGUAUGAAGUGAGAUUGAUGUAGGCAGUGGAUCUUCAUCAUUUGCAAGAGGAGUCAUUGACCUUGUCUUGGGAUAUGUCACAAGCUUGGUGAUUGACCUGGCUAUUUCGAUAGAGGAAAGCCUUAACGUACAUGGUGGGGUUGUAUCAUUGGGACACUCAUUAGGAUGCAGUGGAGCUCGUAUCUUGGUCACAUUGUUAGGGGUAAUCUAUAAGCUUCCCUUCUCUUGCAAUGCAUUCCUAGUUUGACAUUCUAAUAUCAUUUAUAUAGUUCUCUGGUUUUGUUUACAUGUUUUCUUAAUGAUCUAAAGUCAUAGUUCGUGGUCAUAUCUAAGCUUAUGCUUUCUACAUAUACUCAUGUGAAGUGAUCUCGUGUUUGCCAUUUAUUCUUUUAAAUUUUUGUUGAGAGUUUAGCUGUGGAAUAAAAGAGACAUUGGUAACUAUGCUCUCUCUGAUAUAUUUUACUUGGAAUUUCUGAAAUAAGAAUAAUGUUGUUGCAAGUAUUGAGACAUAAAAAGGGAAAGUACGGGGUUGGUGUCAUAUGCAACGGUGGCGGGGGAGCUUCUUCACUUGUUCUUGAGCUCAUGGAUCAAAGAAUCAGAAAGAAAAAAACAUAUAAAACUCUGCAGCAACAAUCUAUUGCAACAACACCUCUGACACUCUACAGAUUCCCUAGAUGUGACAAGAGAAGUAUAAAAGGAUACUUAAGACUCCUUGAAAGUAGUAAUUUUGUUUAUUUAUUUGUGUUGAAAGUAGUAACUUUUAGACUCCUUGAAUACUUAAAGAAUAUUUUGUUGUUGAUGACAAUGUUGAAUGUUUUAAACUAAAUUGUGGAUUGUUAAUUCAAUGUUGAAUGUUCUUACUUUUUGUUA